rnacentral:rRNA from 1 species
CUCCUACGGGAGGCAGCAGUGAGGAAUAUUGGUCAAUGGGCGAGAGCCUGAACCAGCCAAGUAGCGUGCAGGACGACGGCCCUAUGGGUUGUAAACUGCUYYYAUUGCGGGGAUAAAGUGGGGGAUGUGUCCCUUUUUGCAGGUACCGUAUGAAUAAGGACCGGCUAAUUCCGUGCCAGCGAGCCGCGGUAAUA